AACAUCCGCCUGCUCCCCGAACGGCCGGGCCCAAGCGUGCACCCAAAACACAUGCGGUCAACAAACACGUGGAUUCCUAUGAUAUCCUUAUAAAGCUCAGAAGAAACACCACACACCAAAAAAGACGGAAAUUAAGGACAAGAAGGCAGUAACCAAGAGGAUGACGACACUUGCUGCAAAUCCAGGGACAGGAGUAAUGAAGGCUGACAUGGCCUCUUCAGCAAAGGAGACAGGAAAAAAGAAGAGGAAGACGAGAGGGUUGGAGAAGGCAAAGAGGACUCGUAGGAGGAGAAAAAGCUGAAAGAACUGUUCACUUCAAAUGGUCCAGAUAAAGAGGUGGUCUUGGAACUUGAACUGUUGGCCUUUGGGAAGAACGGAGAUCUGUGAGUUCCCUGUAAACAACCAACUGAGGAAGUUAUCUACAAAGUUUAUACUGUAAAGAGAAAUUUGUCUAUUUGAAGGGAUGCUUUGCACCAUAGAUUGAAAAAGUGUCUUUUAAAU
rnacentral:lncRNA from 1 species